CUCUGGUUUAACCCACAGCGCCACCCAUGUUCCUAGGCUUAGUCGUCUCCAGUUAAGGCUAAGCAGCUUCUUAUUCUGUUCUUGCCGCAGAAUGAGGGGGCUUUCCUUCCAAGGCAACCACAGCAAAGUACGCAACGACUUUAGUUGGAAAAUAAGCACCACCUAAACCCAGCCACGUUUGGAAAAAGAGGGCGGUCUCCCAUUCCGGGGUUCAAAUUGGGAAUCUGCUUUGGAAUGCAGGAUGUUUUCAGUCCCAUGUUUUAUAAGGGAAGGAAUCCCCACGAGCAGGUGCAGAAAAAAAUCUUUGUACACAACUUUUAUAAAUCUACAAACAAAUGUAACAAGCCCAUAGCACAUGAAAAUCAGUGAAUCUCAAAAGAAUCUACCUGGGGACCAGCGACAGCAGGGAGGAUUGAUAUUCUGGUGACCAGGAAAGCAACCAAGGAGCUGGGAAACCUCUGACUCAAAGAUCCCCCUCACCAUGAAUUUACAGAGUGGUCUUAAUUUAAGUAAGAAAUUAUUCCACAGUAUCGGACGUCACCACACCUCUGCCACACAGUAAUAUGGAGAUAAUAAAUGCCUGUCCCCAUAAAGUUGUUAUAAAGCUUUUCAUUUUUAGAGAAGAGAUACUGUACUAGAUGGAUCCUUAGUCUGAUCCACCAGUACUACUGAAUCAAGUUGCUGUAAUUCAAAGUGGUGUUGAAACCCAAUGGAAACAACUAAAUAUUUGUUUAUUUAUCUUCGUUUCUUUCAAAUCUUGCUCGCUCAUUCCUUUGGAACUGGUAGCUUGGAGUGUUUAUUGCCACAUUUUGUACCCGAUCUUUGCAUAAGCUUACAUCUAACAAAAAAGUGUCUUUUCAAAGUGCCAGAAUCAUACUGGUAUUUAAAUGCAUACUGCCUCCAAGCAGUUGCCAAAUGUUCCAAACGGCCAGUACCCAGGAGUUAUGAUUUGUGUUGUUCUGAGCAUUCAAAGAAAGCUGCAUUCUAACUGCCACAGAACUCCAUGGAGCAGUUGCUACAGUGCUCAGACCAGCUUCACUCUUCUCAGGUCUUCUCUGAGGUCAGACACACGAAGAGAAAGCCCUGGGAAAAGUCCUUGCGUAACAGAGACUGGUUGAAGAACUGAUUUCAUCAUGCCUUCUAUCGCCAGCCUUCCCAGUACCAAAGCUCCCGUUCCACCCCAGGCACAUUAUGGCUCCUUUCCGGUAUGGGUGUUGUGCAGGGUGUCCUGUUUUCAACUGGGUGCUUUUGUCCUGGCUCUUAUCAGCUACAUUAUGGAGCAUCUGCUCCACAGCCAAUCUUGAAUGGAGAGUGUGGCAGGUUGAGAACAUCAUGGGCAGCAACAAACCUGGCAUUGAAGGGAUUGGGAUCUGGGGCGCCUGUUCCGUGCGUAGAAUUACAAUGAAGAAAAUCAACAUUAUAUGCAUACCAUUAAACGAUGAGGAGUCCCUACCCUCUGAAAUAAUCAUUGCCCAGGACUUGAUGCCAUUGGCCUCAAUUGCCAAUGUGGUGACCGUUUUUUGUAUGGCCUUUGCACUAUAUAGCAUCUUUAAGCCUGGAAAACACGAUGAUUUCAUCACUACCUUCUUUUUUUACCUUCUUGUGUGUGUUUGCAGUCCAUUUUACAGAGAAUACUAGCCAAGGCUUUGAGUGCCUGUGUGCUGCUUUCAGCCCUGGCCAGCAAGAACAAUGAUCAGGGACACUCGGUUUCAAUGGUCCAGAGUGACCUAGGUCACUUCCAGCUUUAGGCAGAAUAAAAAAUUAAAAAUGAUGGAACACAAAACAAAAUAGCGCCACACACCAAAGAAGUGAGACUUAAUUAAAUGUGAUGAAAUAUCUGUGAACAAAAAAGAACCAUGUCUUUUACCAAAUCAUAUCUCUCAUUUGCUUAAAUUUUCAGCUCUAAGCUGAGAGGGUAUGUCACAUUUUGGUCCGCUGCAGGUAGAAGCAAGUUGAGAGAAGAAUCAAAUACCAAAAAAUUAAGAAGUGACUAAAUCUAAGGCCCACAUAAUUAUACAGACUAUAAUUUUGAACAGAUCCAUAAUUUUUUUAAAGUCCUGUAAAGUUUUCAGUUUUUAGGCUUCCAGAAGGUUGGGUUUUCUGCCAAAUUUCACCAGAUCUUAUUUUAUUGCUGCCAUAAAUACAAUUCUGCCCCUUACAGCUUUCCCACAGUGAUUUGCUACUAGGAAUGACUUCAACAGAAGACCACAGGUAUUUAGGAACAAAUUUCCCUGUACAUCACAGUAAAAUUGUUAUCUAUACAGACUGUGCUCUCUGUGUCUAUAAUCCAUACUGUGAAAGGAAAAAUACAUUACACAUUUGUAAAAGUCAACAGUUUCAUAACAAAA